rnacentral:rRNA from 1 species
CGUUAGCGGCGCGCUUAACACAUGCAAGUCGAACGAGAAAGGGCUUCGGCCCCGGUACAGUGGCGCACGGGUGAGUAACACGUAGGUAACCUGCCCUUGAGUGGUGGAUAACAUUCCGAAAAGGAGUGCUAAUACAGCAUAAGACCACGGUUCCAUCAAGGAACAGGGGUCAAAGCGGGCCUCUUCAUGAAAGCUCGCGCUUGGGGAUGGGCCUGCGGCGCAUCAGCUAGUUGGUGAGGUAAUGGCUCACCAAGGCUAAGACGCGUAGCUGGUCUGAGAGGAUGAUCAGCCACACUGGAACUGAGACACGGUCCAGACUCCUACGGGAGGCAGCAGGUGGGGUAAUUUUGCGCAAGUGGGACGAAAGCCUGACGCAGCGACGCCGCGGUGGGUGAUGAACGGCCCGUCGGGUUAGUAAACGCCCUGUGGGGAGGGAUGAAUAAGGUAUGGCUAAUACCUAUACUGAUGACAGUACCUCCUUAGCAAGCACCGGCUAACUCUGUG